UACGGCGGGAGCUAGCGUUGUUCGGAAUUACUGGGCGUAAAGCGCACGUAGGCGGCUAUUCAAGUCGGGGGUGAAAGCCCGGGGCUCAACCCCGGAACUGCCCUCGAAACUAGGUAGCUAGAAUCUUGGAGAGGUCAGUGGAAUUCCGAGUGUAGAGGUGAAAUUCGUAGAUAUUCGGAAGAACACCAGUGGCGAAGGCGACUGACUGGACAAGUAUUGACGCUGAGGUGCGAAAGCGUGGGGAGCAAACAGG
rnacentral:rRNA from 1 species